rnacentral:lncRNA from 1 species
GCCUCACCAACUUUAAACCAACCAAUGGGAGAUCUAUAUCUCCUCCCAUAGAGCACCUCAAAUAGAGUCAUCUAAAUGAUGGAAUGAUAGUUUUUGUUAUACGCAAACUCAAUCAAAGGCAAACAGUCAUCCAAACUACCUUUAAAGUCUAUCGCACGCACGCUCGUAACAUAUCUUGUAAAGUCAAGAUGAUCCUUUCUACUUGACCAUCUGUAUGAGGAUGGAAGGCUGUACUGAGAUGAACUUGGGUACCAAGACUCUUUUGGAAUGCUUUCCAGAAAUGAGAGGUGAACUAGGUACCUCUAUAUGAGAUAAUGGACAAUGGAAUACUGUGUAAUCUGACCAACUCCUUGAUAUAGAGUUUAUCAUAAUCCUUGGCUGAAUAGGAGGUAUAGACUAGGAGAAAAUGAGUUGAUUUGGUCAUCCUAUCUAUAAUGACCUAAACUGAAUCAUGUUGAUGAUGAGUAUGAGGAAAACCCGUCACAAAGUCCAUGUUCACUUCUUCCCACUUCCAGGUACGAAUAUUGAACUCCUAUAUAGAUCCACUAGGCCUCUGAUGCUCAAUCUGAACCUGCUGAGAUGUUGAGCACUUAUCCAAAAACUCUAUAAUAUCUCUCUUCAUCCCACUCCACCAAUAGAUCUCCCGCAAAUCAUGGUACAUCUUAGUGGCCCCUGGAUGAACAGAGUAGUAUGCACUAUGCGCUUCUGCAAGAAUUUUCUGCCUCAAGUCAUCUACGCCUGGCACAUAUUGCCGACCCUAGCAACGCAACACAUCAUCUCCUCCUUGGGAGAAAACCUCUACCUUCUAAUUUCUAACUAAUUCUUUUAACUGGACUAGACUGCGAUCCCUAUCCUACUUUUCCUUUACUUCAAAAACUAGGGAUGAUUCUGAGCUACUCUACACCCAUACACUACCUUUUGUUGAAUCGACUAAGAGAACACCUACUCGGGCUAACUGAUGAACUUCCUAGGCUAACUUCUUCUUAUUAUCCUUAACAUGGGCAACACUACCAUAGACAUUCUACUGAGAGCAUCAUCCAUUACAUUGGCCUUGCCCGGAUGGUACAACAUACUUAUGUCAUAGUCUUUCAACAAUAUUAACCACCUUCUCUGAUGGAGGUUAAGAUAUUUUUGAGAGAAUACAUAUUGCAGGCUCUUAUGAUCAGUGAACACAUCCAAGUGCAUACCAUAAAAAUAGUGCCUCCAAAUCUUUAAGGCAAACACUACAACUACUAACUCAAGAUCAUGAGUAGGGUAGUUCUUCUCAUGGGGAUUAAGAUUUCUAGUGGUAUAGGCUAUGACCUUACCUCUUUGUAUCAACACAAAACCUAAUCCAACUCUAGAAGCAUCACAAUACACAACAAAGCCAUAAAAGCCACCUAGUAGGGUCAAAAUCGGUGUUGUAGUGAGUCGAGUCUUCAACUCCUAAAAACUCUUCUCACAAGAAUCUGACCACUGUAACUUGAAUUUUUUUUGAGUCAACAUAGACAUAGGGGGUACAAUAAAGGAAAAUCCCUCAACAAAUUAUCGGUAAUAGCUGGCCAAACCCAAGAAACUCCUAAUAUCUAAUAGAGAGAUGGGUCUGGACUAGUUUACCACUGUCUCGGUCUUUUGGGGAUCUACUCUAAUGCCAUCACAAAAAUGAUAUGGCCAAGGAAAUCUACUAACCUUAGCCAAAAUUUGCAUUUACUGAAUUUGGCGAAUAGAUGAUGAUUUCUGAGGGUCUGAAAUACUAUUCUGAGAUGGUAUGCAUGAUCUUGUUCACUAUGGAAGUAGACAAGAAUGUCAUCUUUGAAUACUAUGAUGACCAUGUCCAAGUACUACUUGAACACUCGGUUCAUCAUGUCCAUGAAGGCUACUGGGGCAUUGGUAAGACCAAAGUACAUGACUAAGAAUUUAAAGUGGCCCUACCGAGUUUGGAAAACUGUCUUUGGGAUGUCACAUUCUCUGACUCUAAGCUGAUGAUAGCUUGAUUUGAUGUCUAUCUUAGAAAAGUAACUCGUACCCUAAAGCUGGUAAAAUAAGUCAUUUGUUCUGGGAAGUGGAUACUUGUUUUUUAACCAUGAAUUUAUUUAACUGACGGUAGUCAAUACAUAUUCUUAGAUAACCACCUUUUUUAUGCACAAAUAGAACUGGUGCACCCUACAGGGGCACACUAGGUCUGAUGAAUCCUUUAUCUAAGAGAUCCUUUAACUGUUUCUUUAAUUCUCUGAGUUCUAAAGGUGUCAUUCUAUAUGGUGAAAUCGAAAUAGGCUAAGUGUCUGGAAGGAGUUCGAUUUUAAAAUAAAUUUUCCUUUUGAGAGGAACUCCUGGAAGAUCUUCGGGAAACACAUCUAGGAAUUCGCAAACUACUGACACUGAUUUAAGAGUAGGGGUUUCUGAACUAGAGUCCUGGACUCAAACAAGAUGGUAGACACAUCCCUUAGAUAUUAUUUUUCUAGCCCGAAGGUAAGAAACAAGCUGACCCCUGAGUGCUGAAGUACUACACCUCCACUCUAGGAUGGGUUCAUUUAGAAACUGAAACUAGACAAUUUUGUUUCUGCAGUUGACUGAGGCAUAGAAGGAAUAAAGCAAAUCCAUGAUGAGAAUGGCAUCAAAAUCAUCCAUCUCUAGUUUGACUAAAUCUAUUGAUGUGACUUUUUGAGAUUUCAUAACCGGACAGUUCCUAUAUACCCGCUGGGCUAUGAUUGAUUCAUCCAAUGGGGUGGAGACUGAGAAUGUAUUUGAUAGAAUUUUUGGACUAACUCCAAAAUCAACUGCUAUAUAAGGAGUAACAAAGGACAAGAAAACUUUUGGAUCUAGCAAAGCAUAAAUAUGCAAAUGAUAAAAUUGUAACAUACCAGUGACCACAUUAGGAGAACUUUCCUGAUCCUGUUGGGACUGAAGAGCAUAGAGUCUAUUUGGGCGCUGCCCACUGGUGGAACCAAAUGAGGCACCCUGCUAAUUCAGGCAAUCGAACUGAGUUAGAGUACGGUUACGUGGACCCUGGGAACCUGACUGGGGAUAAUUUUUGACUCUGUGGCUUGGUUUGCCACAUCUGAAACAAAUAUCACUUCUUUCCCUGUAGAUACCCUGAUGAUUUCUGCUACCCUGCUGGCAGAGAGGAUUUUUUCGGGCACUGCUAACAUUGCCCUGAGGCUUGGGGCCUGAUGCCCUAUCUCAGUUGCCAUUUCUGGAACUGAGGAUUGCUGGUGGAACUGGGAAUGAUUCCCACCCUCUGACUUAGGCUGGGCAAAGCUGAAACUACCUAUUUUAGCUCUCUUGUUUUGGUUCUCUCUCCUUAUUUUUUUGUUCUUCUAUCUACUGUGCUUGGACCAUCACCCUAAAUAAGUCUAUCUCACUAAUUAGCAUUUGUAGUUCUACACUCCUUAACCUCACUAUUAUUCACUCCAGACAUAAAUUUGCUCAUCUUAAACCUGCUAUCUGCUACCACAUGAGGAGCAUAUCUAGCUAAUUGAAUAAACUUUAGAGAACACUCUUUCACCAUCAUGUUGCCCUACUUUAGAUUAUUACAUUCCAAAACCUUUGCUUACCUCAAAUCCUAUGGGAAGAACCUAUCCAGAAAAGUAGUGGCAAACUCCUCCCAUUCUAUGGGCCCUGCAUCUGUGGCUCUCUCUGCUUUUCACUAUUUAAACCAUGAGUGAGCCAUAUCCUAUAGCUGAUAUAAAGUUAACUCAACACUCUUACUAGCUGUUACCCCCAUAAUAUCAGUAAAUUUCUGCACCUAGUCAAGAAAUUCCUGAGGGUCCUCAUCUGAUUUAGACCCGAUAAAAGAUGGAGGGUUCAUUUGGGUUAAAUUCUUAAUCCUGGCAGCAGCAGUAUUGGCCACUGGAUUGGCUGGAAGAACAGCUGGACGCUUAUUCUAGGCUACCAAAGCAUGGGCUAGGGUGGUAAAAGCUAUUUUGAACUCAGCGUAGGAGACAUGUUCGUCCAGAGAAUCUAGAUGAAUGGGCUGAAGUUCUGGAUGGUCUCCCAUUCCUUUUACCUUAGUUCUUUUGGGAAGCAUGAUCUAUAAAUAGAAGAGAAAUUGAAUUAGAUAGAGAGUUUAACUGGAGAUCAUGCUUAAUUGUACGAUGUGAAUACUGAAGGAAUGGAAACUAUUCAUAAAAAUAUCUCGCAGCCUCCUAUCCAAAAGUGUGGCACACUUCAUACCCAUGCACAAAACUCUACUAGAUGCGGCUUCCAGACUUCCUAGGACUCUAUUGAACUUUAGGCUCUAAUACUAAGUUUGUAACGCCUCGAUUCUAUAUCCCAGAUGCUACAUAGUGCUCAUAAUCUCGAAGGACCACAAGCUAACUCAUGAUUGGUACCUGCUAUAAUAACUAAAUAAUAAUACUGUAAUUAUGCUAAAAUUAGGUGGAAAUAUGCCACAAGAUUCAAAUUUAAAUGAUAACUCUGAGUACGGUAUCGAAGUACCAAAACAUGUACAAAAUAUUGAAAUCUAAAUAACUGUCUGAAAAUACUAUAGUUUUGAAAAGCCUCUAAACUGUCUGAAGUAUGGAGUUGAUGGGAUAGGCCCCCAAAUAACUCCAACUACUGAAAGUAAUACUAAAAUAUCAAAAAAAAACAUGUUCUCGAACUAUGAUGACUCACCAAUACCUCUGACUGUUGGAAAUCUAAUAUGCUAGGGGUGCUCUGGAGCUUAUUCAUCUAAACUUAUGAUAUAAUACAUCACAGCACAAAAAACUUGCGUCAGUAAUUUGAAUGUACUAGUAUGCUCAGUGAGGUAGGCUAAAUACAUUGGUUCAUAUGCAUGAACAAUACUAACUGAAUAACAUGAGUAUGAUUGAAUGAUGGUACAUGCAUGAAUACAUAAAUUGUAAUCUAAAAAUAUGAUAGUACUGAAUACUAAUCUGAAUACUGAUUUAACUGAGGUUUGAUUUUACUAAUACUGUAUUAUAGUUAAAUAGGUGACUUUAUCUGUUAGUCCUGAUUCUAAGGAACUAUACUGAGUUUUGUACGGAACUGAGUGACUAUGUCGGAUAGUCCUGAAUCUAUAGUACUAAACUAAGACUGAAUCUGAAACUUAAACUGUGGGAGGUAAUCAUCUAACCAACAUGCCUUUUUUUAAAUAUAUUUAGGGUCCAACCUAUAAACCUAGUUAGAAGGGUUUCAGUACCAUGCCAUUGGUAAAGACACUGAAAAGGUACCCUCAUUUGGAAGGUACUCUAAUGAGAAUGGUGGAACCCUCAACUGACAGGUUAAAACACCUCAUCAACCCUCAACUGGCAGGUUUGAUGUCUCAACCUGCGUUGUCUACGUAGUUCUAGAAUGCAAGGAUUUUUUCUAAGAAUCACACCCUCUACUGUCAAGUGAGUCCCCAUCCAUAGGUUCAUACGGUGCUGAAUCGUACUCCUAAUUGAAUAUACACUGUACUGAUUUCUAAACUGUACUAGACUGGACUAAACUGUUACUGAUUGUAUUGUCUAACUGAACUGAAUUAAGUUCACUAAGUUCUGUUGACCGAUAGGAUACUACUGAUCUCUAAAACUGACGGAGGUUACUGAGGCCUAAACUGAAUACUGAACUGGAUUGAAUCGAUAGUGAGUUUAUUGAGUUUCCUGAGUUCUAAAAUUUACUAAGAAUACUACUGAUCGUGACCUGACUGAGACUAUCUAUAACUGACACUGACUCUAGGUAUACAACUAAGUUGUCAGGUAAUAAAUACCCCUAGGACUCGAUAGCGCAAAGUACAAAGCAUAACAUAAAUCUUGAAAGCACAACAAUAGUCACAUGUUCAUAUUUCACUUGCUACGACAUUUCAUCAAACACUUGUAAAUCUUGAACUUGCACAUGUAUAGGAAUGCAUACAAACAUGUCAUAAUUAAACUAACAAUUCACGUACUUUCUAGACAUGACUUUAAUAUGAGAGUCAUUUUUGAACAUGUAGUUCUAGCAUGAAGUCAUCACAAGAUCACCUAUGGAUCGCAAAGAACAAUUUAUACACUUAGGCAUUUUGACGAACACAUAAGAAUCAUGAACUUAGGCUUGGGCAUGAACAAAUAAACCAAUCCAUCAUGGAAACAUUAAUUAAUUCAAAUUCAAGGAUUUCAAUCCACAUGCUAACAUAAUUUCAUGAAAUUCAUUAAAGAUAUCAUCUUGUAAAUCAUACCACAAGACUAACAUGUGUACAAACAACCCACAACUUGGAAAUCAUGAUUCACGAUUUUUUAAAAGGGAUUCUUGAACUCCAAGGGUGAAAAGGGCCCUUGAAUGAACACUUCACAUACCUUGGUGCCUGAAUUUCUGAAAGUUAAUGGUGGAAUCUUAAGUUCUUAAUUUAAAAUUGAAGUUUCUAUGUUUUUGCUCUUGAGCAAAUUUGAGAAAAAAUGAGUUUAUUUGCUCCCUAAGAUCAUUUAUUUAGUGUUUUGGGGGCUGAAGAUUGAGGAAAAAAGACCUAAAUACCCCCAAGGAAGCGGUCUUUUAAUGACUGAAAAACUAUACCAUCGACGUGCCGUAUCGUUGGCAUCGACGCAAUAGCCAACGCGUUACAUCAAGUCCGUGUGGACUCACUAGAAAUUAACGCUGAGAGCUGGGGAAAAUAUCUAUCAAUGCGAUAGUCGAUGCGGUGAACCAAGAUAGAAUUGAUCUACUAUUUUAGGAUUCCAAAGGAGCUUUAAACAAAGUCCAAAAAUUCCAAAACAUGUCCAAAAAUACCUACAGACAUUCCUAAUCAUAAAUCAACCUAGAUAUCAACAUUUAAGGAUGCAGAAACCAUGAAAUAUGAUCUCCAAUUGUUGAAGGCUAGAAUGACUCUAAGUCUAAAUACUUAGCUAGAAUAUUCUGAGCUUGGGACCCCCUUGGCAAGCUUAAAGGGCUGAAUUAAGCUUUCAAUUUUGUGGGGUCUUACAUUUUACUUCUGAGCUAGAUGGUACACCCUAUAUUUCUAGUACCCACGGGUUAUAUGGGUCCGCUAUUAAAUUAUCAUCCUAGCCCCUUAAUCAAAGUUUUUCGCAAGGAUUGGGGUCCUAAAUACUAUUCUAGUAUAACAGUGACUCAGGGGCAAGUAUACAUUGGCCAUAGCUAAUCAUGUCUCCCGAAUUGACAAAACUCAAUUUCCUACAAUGAGCCUUUACACCUAAAUGCUUUCUUGGGGUAACCAUCUAAAUCUCUUUAAGUACAUUUAUAUUCCUUUAAGAAUCAUGCUUCAUGCUCAUAAAUAUUCACUUUUUAUUUUGGUAAGGGAAUGCAUAUUAUAAUAGGUUGUCAUCAUACCCAUAUUACACAUCAUUCAUAUCAUACCACAUCAUAUCCAUAGCCCUUUUUAUUCAAAAUCAUGUUAGUGACCACCCAAGAGAUUUAAACAUCACAUGAGAGAGUUCUUAUUUCAAAACACAUGAAAACUUAUGCAACCUACUCCCUUUUCAAUACUUUAUCAUACGAUGGUCAUCUCUUUCAUCAAUCACAUGUAAAUUCUUUAUUAGAAAACACGAGCAUUUGUAAAUUAAGGGAAAAACCCCUCUCACUCGUUCAUAAAACAAUUCAUAAACAUUAUCAAAAUAUUUAAACUCAAACUUUUAACCAUUCAUUUAAAAAAUACUCAACAUUGUUAAGACAAUGAGUUUCAUAACAAAAGAGGAAAUAAUGCAAAUCAUGCUCUCAUAUAACUUCUCAAAGUAAUAACACAUGCACAUAUGAAAAUAAUUCAAGUUUUAGGGAAACAACCUCAUAGUUUAUACAAGAUUUCAUUAUAAAACAUGGUUUACAAAGCAUGCUCUUCAAGAAUUUUAAAACCCAUCUCAUGUAUGAAAUUAUAUACCUUAAAAAAGCUUGUUUAAAUGCUAAACUUAUGCCUAUGGAAUUUAGGAUAGUUCCACAUACCUUUUAAUUGACAAAAACAUUGAAAAAGUUUACCAUUGAAGUUUAAUUCCUCAAAUCCUAGGUAGUUUCUCCUCUUUUGAUUAUGGAAUGAUAUUUGAGAAUUUGUAGAGGCAAUGUAACAUUUAUAAGGUGUUAAUUUCAUCCAAAGAGGGUUAGGAAUGGUUAUGGGAUGAUAAACUACCUUAAUGCCCUUAAAAUAAAUCAAACGGAGAACUUUUUGAUGCCCUAGAAAGUCUUUGAAUUUCAUGGCAAAAUAAAAUCUAAGGCAAUUUGCUAUGGCAAUUGCUUUGCAGUGUAGGACCAUCGCAGAUCCGGGACAGUGCCUCAUUCAAACACUCAUAAUUUUUUACUCCGGACUCGAAUUGACAAAUGGUCGAUUUCAUUAUAAAGAAGACUCGAAUGAAUUUAAUUUGAUAUCUAGUAGGAAACAUGGCUCUUUAUAUCCUAGGAGAAAUGGUCUCUGAAAUGUGACCCAAUAAAAAUUAGCAACUAAACGUCAAUCGAUAAGAAAGUUCUUAACUUAACUACUUAGCUAGGAGAUUUUUAUGGUGUAUAUUCAUUCCCAAGGAUGUUCCCACACUAAUGAAAUGUUAUUAAUACUUAUCUUAUUAGAAACCAUCGAGUUUGGGUCUAUAAUCAUUGGAAAGAUAGUUCAACUUUAGCCCAAAAGUGUGGGGUAUUACAAUAAAUAUCUUAAUAUUUUCUUGGCUAAGAUUUAUGUCUAAAUCCCAAUUACAAAAAGUUACUAAUAAAGACAAUCAAGUACAUCAAAAAUGGAGGAAAAGUUACUAAUAAAGUUUCCAAAUGACUUGUAGUGAAAUCCCCAACGUGUGUCACCAACUUUAAUAAGAUUAGGUUCUUGAUUCAAACCUCUACCCAUUUCUAGCUCACCUAUAUCUAAUGCCUCUUGGAGUUUUUAUUUUUGAGAUUAUCGAAAUUCAUCCACACAUUUAAAGGAAUUCCACAACAUAUUCAAAGUAUUGCAAUCAAUAAUAUAAGUUCUCUUACUUGAACACACCUUUUAGAAACUACAACUAGAAUCAAUUGAAGUUGAUUUAACACUGCCUAACUCAACUUGUGUAUUGAUUUCCCCAUCGUAACAUUGCCCCCGAACAUUUGCUAAAGUUAAAGAAUGGUGAGCAAGUGCAUCCACAAUUGCUUUCUUUAGAGAUACAAACUUGUAUCUUUAACAUGAACAAUUCCAAUGAAUGCUUUCAUGAAAAAUCCCUUUUUAUCAAUAUAUCGUAAACAAAUAACCAUUUUCUCUUUGUGUGAUAUGUAUCUUGAUUCAUCAACCCACAAAUCAAAGUAGUCACCAUCUAAAUCCUUUAUUAUAGCCCUGAUUAUUUCAAUCUUACAUGCAGUCACAAUAUCUUUUUGAAUAUCAUGAGAAAUUAUUUUAUUAUUUCUUAGAGCUUUUUCUAACACAUAAAUUUUAAUGUCAUCACAUCUAUCCGCAAGUCAAGAAAGUUCUUCAAGAAAAUUAUCUUAGCUCAAGGAUGAUUCACUUUUAUCAUGACCACAGAGUGCUAAACUUUGAUGUAGAAGAAAUUGGACCACAUCGAUUGAAGCAUUUAAUCGAACCUGAUAUUCAUUCUUACUUUUCUCUUCUAACUUGUAAAAUGUAGCCUCAAUAGAUUGUUCUUCCCUAUUAUGAUCUUCACACUUCCUUUUUUAUUGAUUAUGAAUGCUAUUCGGAGGACCAAUUGUGUUGCAAAGCUAUCUUUUCUAUGCCAAUUUCUAAAUACCUUUGUCGAAAAUGUAUUAUCCCUACCUUGAUGAAUGCUUUCGCCUUGAAGUAAAUAACAAAGCAAACAAUAAGCUCCAUUUGCACUUACACUAUAUUCCAACCAAUAAGAAUAUUUGUCAAACCAUUUAGAAACAAAAUGAUGUAGAGUUCCAAAAAAGUCUACUUGAGGAAACUCAUGAUCACGAGGUUGGAAAGGACAUUUUAGAGUGUAUGCCCUUCAUAUCUCAUCAUGAAAGUUCAGAGGAUAACUCAAAAUCGGAGGUCUUUCAACGGGUUCAGCCUCUAAAUCAUUUACAUCAAAUUUCUGUCUCUGAGAAGACUGAGAUUUUUUUCUAUUUGAUUAACAUCUUCAUCUCUGCGUGAUUCAUUUUGAGACAUUGAACUUAUUUUUGAAACUUUACGAAAAUAUUUCUCCAAGAUCAUUGAAACCUCAAACUUAAAUAGAAGUCACGUGCAUCAAACUUAUUAUUCAAUUUCAAAAAAUAAAAAUAAAAUCAACUUGAAACAUUGUCUGAUUCCCCGGAUACUAUUAACUAGCAAGUUAUCUACUACAUGAAACUAGAAUAUUAAAUUUACUUUGUCUAAAGCCAAGAAAAUGAAAAAAAGCAAGUUCAAGUGGGAAAAAACAAACUAACGGCUAAGAUGAAUUAAAAAAAAACUUUUUACAAUUCACACUUCAAUAACUGUUGAAAAAAAUUUAUAAUGAUAGCUCAUUAAAACUUGAAAGCCUUAUCACCAAAUUGUUGAUUAACAAAUAUCUAAAAUAGCAAGAGGGGUAAAGAAUUUUAUUUUCAAAGAAACAAAGAAGGUGAAAGGCUGGAGUCUGUAGAAGUCGAGAGUUUAAAGAAGGGAACCUUGGUUUUGUUCAAUGUCCUAAUUAAUCUAUUAUUUUUUUAAUUUUAAAGGAAAGGUCCUUAUUUAAAGGUAAAAGGAAAAAGUCAAAGCCAUUAUUUAAUGGAUGAAAAUAGACAUCCGUGUUUUCUUUUUAGGGCAUAAGAAUUUUUUGUUUAUAUUUUUUGAAACAAAAAAAUAAGUAGAUUGAGCCGAGGCUAGGUUUGAACCCAUGCCGCUUGGGCAGAAUUGCACACCUUGACUUAUAAUGCCACGGGAGUGCACCCUGGAUGCCACACGGUGCUUACGGUCACAAGUGACCACAAGCUAUCCCAUGAGCUGGAACCUGCUAUGAGUAUUGAAUAAACUGAUAAUAAAAGAUAUAUAUGUGUGGAAAAAACUGGAUAUGCCAUAGGGUCUAAAUACUGAAAACAAUACAACUAAAAUCCAAAAUUCUAAAACAUAAGCAAAAAUACUGAAAACUGACAACUAACUGGCUGUAUGAAAUAUUUGAAAACUUCUAAAACUGACUAAAUAAGAGUUAAUAGGACAAGCCCCAACUAACUCCGACUAUCUAACUAGAACCAAAUAUUGAAAUAAACAUAAUCAAUCCUCGAAAUAUGAGGACUCACUACUAUGGCUAUUGGUGAUGCGCUGGAAUGUCUAAGUGUGGUUGGGAACCUGAGCAUCUGAACCUAUGAUAUGAGACAUCAUAGCAAAAGAAACGAGUAUACGGGUAGUACUUUGAAUAUACUAGUAUGCUAAAUGAGGUUAGACUGAUAUGCAUGGGCUCAUGUGCAUGAAUAGUAACUAACUGAAUGAAUAGUAUAAGAUAACUGUUGCAUAGUAUGCGUAAAGGCUGUAAAAUUCUGAGAAUGCACGACAAAGCAUAUAACAUGAUAUGGGAAUAGUCUGUAAACAAAAAUAUUGAAACCUAAGUACUGCAUUAACUGAUAAACUGUAUGCUAUGGUCAAGAAAACCGAAACUGACUUCCAAACUGAGACUGGACUGAGACUGUGGGAGCUAUUAUCUAACCGACAUGCCCAAAUAUGAGCUAAUUGGGGUCCAACCAGUGACCCCAGUUGGAAGGGUGUCAAUCCUUUGCCAAGAGUACUAACACUAGUUGUGUGGAUCCACUAAAGUGAAGUGUCAAAGGACUAAAUAGUCACCCUCUACUGGCAGGUGCUCUAGUGAGAUAUAUGUCAACACUCAACGGGCAGGUUAAUAUUUUAACCUAUGCUAGCUACGUAGUUCUAGAACUCAGGGACUGCUACUAAAGGUCACACCCUUAACUGGCAGGUGAGCCUUCAUCCUUGGGUUCGCUCGGUGCUAAAUCCUCUUCCCAACUGGACUGACUUUGAUUACUAGACAGAACUAAGCUUACUGAUAUGAUAACUGACAGAAUUAAUAAUACUCUAAUAUAUUCAAAACCAUUCUAAAAAUAUUGAGACAAAGUAAAAGACUUAAGUUUUUGGAUAUUCAUAACCUCCAAGACUCGAUAACAUUAACUGUAGAAACUUACUAAAGCUUCAAAGUAACUAGUCAUUGUUCAAAAUCCAACCAUUUAGGAAAUUCAUCGAACACUUGAAAUUCAUGAACUUAGGCAUGGGAAUGAUUGAAAUAUGUGGGAAUAACAUAAUCACAACACUAAAACCAUACAUUGAGGAUUUAACGUGAAAUUUCAUGCUUCAAAUGUGUAAGGGAUACUUUCCAACUAAAAUCACUUGCAAACAUCUUGUAUAAUCAAAAUUCAUAAAAGAUUCAUGAAAAUAACUCAUUGUAAACAUGUAAAUUCAUGAUUUAAAGCGUAAAAAUAGGUUCUUGGACCCCAUGGGUGGAAAGGACCCAUGGAUGAACAUCUAACAUACCUUAAGGCUUUAAUCUUGCAAAAAAAUUAACUUUCUUUAUCGUUCUUGGGUGGUGAAGCUUGAAUUCUUGAAUUUUGUUCAAGGAAUAAUGAUUGAAUUUGAUGAACUUGGGUGAUGGCUAGGGUUUCUUUUAGAUAGGAAUUGAGGAAAUUAGGCAUACAAUGCCUUAACUGAUGAUUAAUCCCAUAUUUUAAUGGAUUGGGGCGGUGGAAAAUAACAAGACUGUCUUUCUGGUAUUUAAAUUCAUAAUUGAAAUGUGUAUUAGGGAGGUACCGAAAUGCGAUGAGCCAUCCAUUGGUAUUAUAGCUAUCUCGUGAUGCUAUUGAGAUAACUUGUUGUUUUUGAAAUCUAAUCAUGACCCAAACCUCAUCCAAAAAAUCUGAAACUUCCCUGGGAUAUGCUACUUACACCCCUAAACAUGAAUUAACUUAGAAAUCAUCAUCUCGGGGUCGUAAGGCCACUUUAAAAAUCAUUAAAGUUAAGAGGCCAAAAAUAAAACUAAGUCCCCAACAUUUAGCUAAAUUUUUAGGUUCUAAGCCUCUUGUGCAUGGAAUAUGGGUUGAACUGAGCUAAGACUAACAUGGGUAUUAUUAUAUCUCCCCCUUAGGAAAAUUCACCUUCGAAUGAGACUAAUUAAGCUGAGAAUACCUAGGAAAUUAAAUUCACUUACUGAACAUGCACAACUCAAAACAUGAUUACAUAAUUAAGUAUGAUACAUGAUACAUGACUGGACUGAUUUAAGAAUGCAUGUAAUGAAAGAUGAUUAUAUAGCCUGAAUUGAGAAUGAAAAGAGAUAAUCUAAGGAAAAUUGUUACCUUUAGCUGAGUUUGAGUUUGCAAAGAAAAGAUGAGGGUACUUGCUACGCAUGUCUGCUUCUGCUUCCCAAGUGGCUCCCUCAACGGACUGAUUCCGCCAAAGAACUUUGACUAAGGGAUCUUAUUUGUUCCUCAGACUAUAGGUUUGCCGAUUAAGGAUUUCGACUGGAAUUUCUUCGAAUAAAAAGCUAUCCUAAAUGCCCAUACUUUCUAAAGGGACUAUUACAGCUGGAUUGCCAAUCACUUCUUUGACAAAGAAACAUGGAAUACUGGGUGCACUGAUGUAAAAUCAGGGGGCAACUCAAGUUCAUACACUACUUUCCCAUAACAACUUCAGAUCUUAUAAGGGCCAACAUAUCGGGGACUAAGCUUCCCCUUUUUGACAAACCUCUUCACUCCCUUCAUGGGAGAGAUUUUCAAAUAAACUAAGUCGCCAACCUCAAACUCAAGAUCUCUCUUUCUCACAUCUGUAUAGAAUUUUGGUCGGAUUUAGGCUGUCUUAAGCCUUUCUCUGAUUAGCCUGAACUUUCUCCAAUGCAUCAAAUACUAAAUCUGACCCUAUUAUCAUGGUCUCACCUACCUCAAGCCAACUAAUAGGAGAUCUACAUCUUCUCCCAUAAAGAGCCUCAAAUGAAGCCAUCAGAAUACUUGAAUGAUAAUUAUUAUUGUAAGCAAACUCAAUUAAUGUAAGUAAUCAUCCCAAUUAUCCUUAAAGUUGAUAACACAAGCUCUCAACAUGUCAUUUAGGGUCUGAAUGGUCCUGUCUACCUGACCAUCUAUCUGCGGGUGAAAGGUUGUAUUGAGACGAACUUGGGUACCUAGACCCUUCUGAAAAGCUUUCCAAAAGUUAGAGGUAUACUAAGUGCCUCUACCUGAAAUGAUGGAGAAUGGGACUCCAUACAACCUGACCAACUCUCUAAUAUAGAACUUUCCAUAAUCCUCGGCCGAAUAAGAAGUAUAGACUAGCAAGAAACAGGCUAUUUUGGUAAUUUUGUCUAUAAUAACCCAAAUCAAAUCAUGAUGGCAACGUGAACGAGGCAACCCUAUCACAAAAUCCAUCUUCACCUCCUCCCACUUCCAAGUAGGAAUGUUGAACUCUUGUAUAAUGCUACUAGGCGUUUGGUGCUCAACCUUAACCGGUUGAUAAUUAGCACACUUGGCUACAAACUCUACAAUAUUUGUCUUCAUGCCACUCCAUCAAUAGAUUUUUCACAAAUCAAGGUGCAUCUUAGUGGCUCCUGGGUGAAUUAAGUAACCCACACCAUGAGCUUCUGUAAGAAUUUAAUGUCUCAAAUUGCUGACGUACCACACACAGAGUCAACCCUGUCAACGCAACACACCUCUCCUCCUUGAUAGAAAACCUCUAAAUUCUGAUUUGUGACUAACUUUUUCAACUUAACUAGGCUGGGAUUCGUAUCUUGAUUUUCUUUCACUUCGGCAACCAAAGAAGAUUCCAAACUAUUUCAGACCCAUACACUACCCUUAUCUGACUAAACUAAAUGAAGGGUUAACCUAGCCAACUGAAUAGAUGAGCCAACUUCUUAUUAUCAUUGUCAACAUGAGCCACACUAUCAAUAGAUAAUCUACUAAGGGCAUCUGCCACUACAUUGGCCUUGUCCAAAUAUCAUAAUCCUUCAAGAAUUCUAACCACCUUCUCUGAUGAAGAUUUAACUCUAAGUGAAAAAACAUACUGCAAACUUUUAUGGUCUGUGAGCACAUCAACAUGCACCCCAUACAGAUAAUGCCUCCAAAUUUUCAAGGCAAACAUAACAGCUACUAACUCAAGAUUAUGGGUAGGAUAAUUAUUUUUAUGGGGAUUAAUUUGUGUAGAAACAUAGGCUAUGAUCUUACCUCUCUGCAUCAAAACACAACACAAACCAACAUUGGAAGCAUUAUAGUACACAAAAAUCCUAUCUGAACUAUCUGUCAAGGUCAAAACUGGGGCUGAGGUGAGUCACGUUUUCAAAUCCUAAGAACUUUUCUCACUGGAAUUUGACCACUAAAACUUGACUUUCUUCUGAGUUAAUUUGGACAUAGGGGAUGUAAUAGACAAAAACCCUUCAAAAAAUUAUCUGUAAUAACUAGCCAAACCCAAGAAACUCUUGAUAUCUGAAGGAAAGAUAGGUCUGGGCCAGUUUCUCACUGCUUUGAUCUUUUGAGGGUCAACUAUAAUGCCAUCACCAAAAAUAAUAUGGCCAAGGAAAGCUAUUGAUCUUAUCCAUAACUCACACUUAUUGAAAUUUGUAAAUAAUUGAUGGCAUCUAAGAGUCUGUAUAACUAUUCUAAGGUGGUUUGCAUGAUCAGUUUCAUUAUGAAAAUAGAAAAGGAUGUCAUCUAUGAAAACUAUGAAAAACAUGUCCAAGUACUGCUUAAACACUCUAUUCAUCAAGUCCAUGAAAGCUGCAGGGGAAUUCAUUAGACUAAAGGACAUGGAUAGGAAUUCAAAGUGAUAAUAUCGAGUUCUGAAAGCUAUUUUUGAAAUGUCACAUUCUCUAACUCUGAGCUGAUGAUAGCCGGAUCUGAGGUCUAUCUUAGAGAAAUAAAUGGCACCCUGAAGUUGAUCGAACAAGUCAUCAAUCUGGAGAGUGGAUACUUAUUCUUGAUAGUGACUUUGUUCGGCUAACAAUAAUCGAUGCACAUUCUGAGAGAAUCAUCUUUCUUAUGCACGAAAAGGAAUAGAGCGCCCCAUAGGGAAAUACAAGGCUGGAUAAAUCCCUUACCAAAGAGAUCUUACAACCAUUCUUUUAACUUCCUAAAAUCCAUGGGAGCACUUCUAUAGGACGAAAUAGAAAUAGACUAGGUAUCUGGAAGAAGGUGUAUUUCAAACUCGAUUUCACUUUCGAGAGAAACUACAGAAAGAUCUUUGAAAAACACAUCUGGAAAUUCCCUCACUACUAAAACUAACUCGUGAUUGGUAAUCUCUAAACUAGAGUUUUUAACUUGAACAAGAUGAUAGACACACCUCUUGGAUAUCAAUUUUCUCACUAUAAGGUAUGAAACAAAAUGACCCCUAAGUGUUAAAGUACUACACCUCCAUUCAAGGAUUGGUUCAUUUAGAAAUAGAAAAUGAACAACUAUAUUUCUUUAAUCAACCGAAGCAUAGCAUGAGUGGAUCCAAUACACAUCGAAAAUGACAUCAAAAUCAGUCAUCUGUAACUCUAGAAGAUCAACUGAGGUGUGUUUCUGGGAUAUUGUGAUCGGACAGUUCCUGUAUACCUGCCUGGAUAUAUUAGAGACGCCUAUUAGAGUGGACACUGAGAAAGGUUCUGCUAAAGUCUCAAGCCUGAUAAGAAAAUUAAUAGCUAUAUAGAGAGUUACAAAAUAAAGAGAAGCUCUAGGAUCUUACAAGGAAUAAACAUGUAAAUGAAAGACCUAUAAUGUACCAGUAACUACAUUAGGAGAACUUUCUUGAUCCUAUCAAGACUGAAGUGCAUACAAUCUGCUUGGGUGCUGACCACUAGUUAUGCUGGAAGUGGCACUCUAUUGGGUCAAGUGAUUGGAUGGAACUUGGGGAUGAUUGGACUGACCCUACUUACCAUUAUUUAGGCAAUCCCUGACUCUGUGCCCUGGCGUGACACAUACAAAGCAUACAUCAUUGCCAGAUCUACACACACCCUGAUGGUUUCUACCAUAUUUCUGGAAAAGAGGAUUUGUACGACCACUGUUCACACUACCUUGGGACUUAGAUCCGGGUACCCGAUCUAGAUUAUUAUUUCUGAACUUCGGCACUAGUUCACUAGCUGAAGAUGGAGCUGGGACUGAUAAUUUCUGACAGAAUUGAGGAUGGUAACCACCCUCUAACAUCAGCUGAGCAAAACUAAAGCUACCUUUUUUGGCUCUCUUAUUCUCCUUCUCUUUCCUUAAAUUUGUGCUCCUCAAUUUGUUGAGCAUGGACUAUCAGCCUAAAUAAGUCCAUCUCCUUAAUCAACAUCACAAUCCUACACUCCUUGACCAUGCUAUUAGCUACCCCAGAAACAAACUCACUCAUCCUAGAUCUGUUAUCAAACACCACAUUAGGAGCAUACCUGGCUAGUCGAGUAAACUUAAGAGAAUACUCUUUCACACUCAUGUUCCCCUACUGCAAAAUGAUAAACUCUUGUACCUUAGAUUUCUAUAACUCAAAGGUAAAUAAAAUAUCUAAAAAGGAUGUGGAAUACUCCUCCCAUUUAAUAGGCCCUGUAUCUAUGCCUCUAUCUCCCUUCCACUGCUUAUACCAGGUAUGGGCAACAUCCUACAACUGGUAAGAUCCCAACUCCACACUCUCACUAGAAGUCACACCCAUAAUGUCAGCUACCUUCUAAACCAUGUCAAGGAACUCUUCUGGAUCCUCAUUAAUCUUGGAUCCCAAAAACAAAUGAGGGUUCAUUCGAGUUAAGUCCCGAAUCCUAGCUGCGAUAGUAUUAGCCACUGAAAUGGAUGGGACAAUAGCCUGCUGAUUAUUAUAAGCUUCUACUGAGUGAGAUAAAGUAGUGAAUGCAGCUCUGAAUUUUGCAUGAGAAACAUGCUUAUUCAGGGGAUCUUCCUGAAUAGGCGGAGGUGCGGGUUGAUUUCUAUUUCUUUUUAUAUUCGUCUUUCGGAGAUACAUGCUCUGAAAUGGAAAGAUUAGAAAGGGAGUUUAAAUUUAUCUCAUGCUUAUUUGCAUGACAUGAAUACCAAAAGAAGGAAAACUUCUCCUAAAAUGUCUUAUAGCCUCUUGUCCAUAGGUGUGACACGUUUUACACCCAUGCACAAGACUUUAAUCAACCCGUCUUUCACACUUCCUAUGAUACUUUAAAACAUUAGGAUCUGAUACCAAGUUUGUAAUUCCCUGAGAGUGAACCCUCGACGCCACACGUUUUUUACGAUCACAAGUGGCCACAAGCUAACCCAUGAGUUGGUGCCUACUGUGAGCACCGAAUAAACUGAUAAUAAAAGAUAUGCUUGUGUAUAAAUAGUUGGAUAUACUAUAGGGAUUAAAUACUAAAAACAAUAUAAUUGAAAUCCACAAUUUUGAAACAUAAGCAAAAAUGCUCAAAACUGACAACUAACCAAUUGUCUAAAAUGUCCGAAAGCAUUUAAAACUGACUAAAUAAGAUUUAAUGGGACAAGCCUCAACUUAAUCCAAUUGUCUAACUCGAGUAAAAUACUGAAAUAAACAUAAUCGUUCCUCAAAAUAUAAGGACUCACCACUGCAAUUCAUGCUGAUGUGCUAAAAUAUCUAAGUGCGGUCGGCAACCUGAGAGUCCAAACCUAUGAUAUGAGACAUCAUAGAGCAAGAAAUGAGUAUGCCAUCAGUACUUUAAAUGUACUGGUAUGCUAAAUGAGGUUAGGUUGAUAUGCAUGGGCUCAUGUGCAUGAAUAAUAAUUGAAUGAAUAAAUAUCAUGAGAAAACUGAUGCAUAGUAUGCAUGAAGGCUGUAAAAUCUGAGAAUGCAUAACCAAGCAUAGAACAUAAUAUGAGAAUAGUCUGUAAAAUAAAAUACUAAAAUCAAAGUAUUGAUUUAACUAUAAACAUUAUGCUAUGGUCAAGCAAACCUGAGCUGACAUUCAAACUGAGACUGGACUGAGACUGUGGGAGCUGUCAUCUAACCGACAUGCCCCAAUAUGAGCUAAUUGGGUCCAACCUACGACCCCAGUUAGAAGGGUUUCAGAACUAUGCCACGGAUACUAACACUGUCUAUGUAGAUCCACUAAAGUGAAGUUCCGAAAGACUAAAGAGUCACCCUCUACUGGCAGGUGCUCUUCUGAGAUAUAUGUCAACCCUCAACUGGCAGUUUAAUGUCUCAACCUACGCUGGCUAUGUUGUUUUGGAUCACAUAGACGAUUACAAAAGGUCACACCCUUAACUGGCAGGUGAGCCCCUAUUUCUAGGUUCGCUCAAUGCUAAAUCCUACUCCCAACUAAACUGACUCUGAUUACUAAACUGAACUAAGCUUACUAAUAUGAUAACUGACUAAAUUGAUAAUACUCUAUUAUAUUUGAAACUAUUAUGAAAAUACUGAGGAUAAGUAAACAACUAAGUUUUUGGGUACUCAUAACCCUCAUGACUUGAUAAUAUUAAAAGUAGAAAUAUACUAAAGCUUCAAAGCAUAAUAAGUAGUUAUUGUUCAAAAUCCAAUCAUUUAGGCAUUUCAUCAAACACUUGAAAUUCUUGAACUUAGGCAUGGAGAUGAUUGAAACAUGUAGGAGUAACAUAAUCACAACACUAAAAUCAUACAUUGGGGAUUUAACAUGGAGUUUCAUGCUUCAAAUAUGUAAGGGCUACAUUCCUAAUAAAAUCACUUGCAAACAUCAUGACUAAUUGAAAUUCAUAAAAGCUUCAUGAAAAUAACUCAUUGUAAACAUGUAAAUUCAUGCUUUAAAGCAUAAAAAUAGGUUCUUGGACUACAUGGGUGGAAAGGGCCUGUGGAUAAACAUCUAACAUACCUUAAGGCUUUAAUCUUGUAAGAGAAUUAACUUUCCUAAUCGUUGUUGGGUGGUGAAGCUUGAAUUCUUGAAUUGUUUUGAAGGAAUAAUGACUGAACUUGAUGAAUUUGGGUGAUGGCUUGGGUUUAUUUUAGAUAGGAAUUAAGGAAAUUGGGCCUUAAUAGAUGAUAUGUGUUUCACAGAUUGGGGCGGUGAAAAAUGGCAAGACAUCCCUUCUGAGAUUUAAAUUCGCAAUUGAAAUGCGGAUUAGGGAGGUACCGCGAUGCGAUGAGCCAUCUAUUGCUAUAAUAGCCGGGCCGCGAUGCUAUCGCGAUGACUUACUAUUACCAAAGUCCAAACACGACCAAAACCUCAUUCAAAAAAUUCAAAACUUCGCUGAGACAUUCUACUUACACCCCUGAACAUAAAUUAACUUAGAAAUCAUCGUCUCGGAUUCGGGAAGGUCACUUUAAAAAUAAUCAAAGUUAAGAGGCCAAAACUAAAACUAAGUCCCCAACACUUAGCUAAUUUUACAGGUUCUAAGCCUCUUGUACAUACACUAUGGGCUGAACUGUGCUAAGACUAACACAGGUAGUACGUGACCUUUUGGCUGCGCUUCUCUAACUUUUCAUGAUUGUUCAACAAUAUGUAUAUAACCAUAAAUAUCUUUAUUUAACCUAUAUAUUCAAAAAAAUUUUGAUGAAGUAUGUUUAUCUUACCACCCUUCAAUGGCUGUAGCUCAGCCCCUUCCACCCCUCUCUUUAAAAUAUACUAGUACUUCAUCAAUGCCAUAGAGAAAGAAAAUAAUCUACAAUCAGAGUACUCUUCAAUUGAAAAUGGAAAUAGACAUAGAAAUUGAAAUGGAAAUUCAGGUACAUUUGUCAUGAGCAAUCCAAAUGUGAUGAGAAACAACUUUGAUAUUGAUAAAUAUUAUUCAUUAAAAUUUUUAUUCAAAACUAUGUUUGGUACUACUACUAUUGAUCAUCCACACUACUUUGAUAAUAAUUUUACAUCAACAACUAGUAGUUCCAUUUUCGAUUUGCUAAUGUUUCCACCUCAUCAUGAACCCCUCAUUAACCUAUGAUUGCUACUUCUACAAUUCAAGAUUCAUCAAUAGCUGAUCAUAUGAUUAAUUGAUUCAGUUGUUAAGGUUUUUGUCCUAAUUUUCUUACAUAAUUUAAGUAUUACUUUUUCUUGAAAGGAAAAUAAAAGUAAUUACAUAAUCACUUUUACUUUUCCUUAACUGGUAAAGUUGCUGCCAUAUGACUAGGAAGUCACGGGUUCAAGCCUUGGAAACAGCCUCUGACAAAAAUUCAACGUAAGGCUGCGUACAAUACACUCUUAUGGUGGGGCUCUUCCACAGACACCGUGCAUAGAGGCAACUUUAGUACACCGGGCUGCCCUUUUUACCUUUCCUUAAAGGAAGAUAUAAUUCUUCUCCAUAUUUAGCCAAUCUCUUUCUUGGUGAAAAGGUUUUAAAACUAUAUAAAAAAAACACCCCUUUCUCAUGCAAUAUCACAAUAGCAUCCACAAUAUAGUUGUUUAAGAGUCUUGUUUUGGGAGAGAUUUUCUCUCUAUAGUUUUAUGCCAUCUUUAAUAUUGGUUUUCAUGUGUAGGUCAAUUGGCUAAAUAAUAUCAAUAAUAUGUUGUUUUAUUAUACUUUUAUUUGUCAUCUGAAUUAUCAUCUUCUUGAUUUACAAACUUUAAUUUUUCGCAUAUGGCCCUAUCAAUUUCGAACCUAGCAAGUGGUAUCAGAACCUAUGGCUCAAAAGUUCAAUGGUUUAGUGAAACAAGAUGAAAGACAGGUUCAAAGAAGUUUAAUAAUCAAGCUGCAAUCAGUUUUACAAUAAUGACAAUUUUCUUUAGUUAUAUGUGGAGAAGAAGUUUUAAGCAUAUUUCAACAAUCCUUUAGUUGCAUCUUUAAAAAUAAAAAAAAUAUUAAUUUUUAAUCUACUUUUAAUCAUAUUAUUUUAAAUCUUAUUUUUAACCAUGAAAAACAGUAUUGAUGAAGAUUAUGUGAAGAACAAAGUUCAUGCAUGUGAAGAAGGCAGAUCAAGUGAAUAACAUCAAGCCAAAAGGGGAGAUUUGUUAGAGUUUUUGCCCUAUUACAAAAUUUAAGUUUUACUUUUUCUUAAAAGAAAAAUAAAAGUAAUAUCAUAAUUAUUUUUACUUUUUCUAAAAGGAAAAUAUAAUUUUUUUUACCGUAUUUGGCUAAUUUUUUUUUUGGAGGAAAGAUUUCAGAACUCUAUAAAUAGAAGACCUCUCUUCUCAUACCUUAACAUAAUAGUAUCCACAAUGUAGUCACUAAAGAGUGUUGUUUAGGGAGAGAUUUUUCCCAAUAGGUUCAAUGAUUUUUGGAUAUUAGAUUUUCAUAUGUAGGCUAAUGGCCAAAUCGUAUAAUAAUAUUAUAUAUUUUUAGUAUUUUAUAUUAUGUCAUCUGAAUUAUCAAUGGUCUGAUUUGCAUACUUUAAGCUUCUGCAUAAUGCCCUCUUGAUUCCGAAUCCAAACCUAGUGACUCCAAAUUUAUCAUUGAUUUCUUCAUCAUCAACUGAAUUACCUGCUGAUGAGUAUCAACAAGAUAAAAUUUUACUUCUUUCUAGAUAAAAUGUAUAUUUUUGUUUGUCUGGUAGAGUAUUAGAAAACAUGAAAUUAACUAUGAUAAAAAUUAUAGGUAAUCCUUAGCUAAUUUGUCAGUAAAUAACUUCUAGCUAACUGGAUUUUCUGUAAAACGGUCAACUGUUGAGAUUAGUAUGAGAUUUUUGUUGUUUAGCUAUGAAAUUGUUUUCGCACUCAAUUCCUUGUUUUGUUUAAGUUACCCCAUAUUAGUUUCCCCCACCCCAUCCAUUUUUUUAAAAGAUCCUUUCUAAAUUUAUGAAUCUAAUAAUUUUAUGUUGAAUGAGAAUAUCGAGUUCUGAAAGCUAUUUUCAAAAUGUCACGUUCUCUCUAAGCUAAUGAUAGCCGGAUCUGAGGUAUAUUUUAGAAAAAUAACUGGCACCCUGAAGUUUAUCAAGCAAUUCAUUAAUUUUGGGGAGCAGAUACUUAUUCUUGGUAGUGACUUUAUUCAACUGAAGAUAAUUGAUGCACAUUCUGAGAGAACCUUCUUUCUUACGUAUGAAAAGGACUGAAGUGCCCAGGGGAAAACACUAGGCCUGAUGAAUCCCUUACCUAAGUGAUCUUUCAACUAUUCUUUUAACUUCUUAAGCUCCGCAAGAGCCAUUUUGUAAGGCAGAAUAGAAAUAGAAUGGGUAUCUAAAAGAAAGUCUAUUCCGAAGUCGAUUUCCCUUACGGGAGAAAAUUCGAGAAACACAUCUGGAAAUUCUCUCACUAUUGGAACUGACUUGAGAUUGGGAAUCUUUGAAAUAGAGUUUUUAACUCAAAUAAGAUGGUAUACACACCCCUUGGAUAUCAUUUUUAUCGCUCUAAGGUACGAAACAAGCUGACCCCUAAGUGUUGAAUUACUAAACCUCCAUUCAAGGGUUGAUUCAUUCAGAAACUGAAAAUGAAUAACUCUAUUUCUAUAAAAAAAAAAACUGAAGCAUAGCAUGAGCGGAUCCAAUCCAUUCCAAGAAUGACAUCAAAAUCAGUCAUUUAUAACUCUACAAGAUCAACUGAGGUGUGUUUCUAGGAUAUUAUGACCGGACGUUCCUGUAUACCUGCCUGGCUAUAAUAGAGACACUUGUUGGGUUAGACGCUGAGAAAGGUUUUGCUCAAGUUUCAGGACUGACAACAAAAUUAACAGUUAUAUAGGGAGCUACAAACGAAAGAGAAGCUCCGGGAUCUAACUAGGCAUAAACAUGUAAAUGAAAGACCUGUAAUGUCCCAGUAACUACAUUAGGAUAAAUUUCCUGAUCCUUUCAAGACUAAAGUGCAUACAAUCUGUUUGGGCACUGGCCAUUAGUUGUGCUAGAAGUGGCACCCUGUUGAGUCGGGUGAUUGGAUGGAACUAUGGGAUGAUUAGACUGACCCUGUUGACCACUAUUUGGGCAAUCCCUAACUCUGUGGCCUGAUUUGACACACCCAAAGAAUACAUCACUGUAAGAUCUACACACACCCUGAGGGUUUCGACCAUAUUUCUGGCAAAGAGGAUUUGUACGACUACUGUUCACACUGCCCUAGGUCUUAGAGACUAGCUCUCUAUCCCGAUUAUCAUUACUGAACUUUGACACUGGCGCACAAGCUAAAGAAAGAUAUGGAGAUGAUGAUUUUUGACAAAAUUGAGGAUGGUUAUCACCCUCUAACCUCAGCUGAGCAAAACUAAAGCUACCUAUUCUGGCUCUCUUAUUCUUCCUCCCUCUUUCCUUAAAUUUCUGCUCCUUAAUAUGUUGAGCAUGGACCAUCAAUCUCAAUAAGUAGAUCUCCUUAAUCAACAUCGUAGGGCUACACUCCUUGAAUACGCUAUCAGUUUCCCUAGAAACAAACUUACUCAUCCUAGACCUGCCAUUAGACACUACAUUAGGAGCAUACCUAUCUAGCCGAUUAAACUUAAGAGAAUACUCUUUCACACUCAUUUCCUGCUUUAAAUUUAUAAACUCCUGCACCUUAGCUUCCAUUAACUCCAAGAGAAAGAACCUAGCUAAAAAGGAUGUGGCCAACUCCUCCCAUUCAACUGGCCUUAUAUCUGCACCUCUGUCUCUUUUUCACUGCUUAUACUAGGUGUGAGCAAUAUCCUAUAACUGGUAAGAACCCAACUCUUCACUCUCACUAGAAGUCACACCCAUAAUGUCAGUUACCUUCUGAACUAUGUCAAAGAACUCUUGCGGAUCCUCAUCAGACUUGGAUCCCGAAAAUAGAGAAGGGUUCAUUCGGGUGAUGUCCCAAAUCCUAGCUGCGGCAUUAUUAGCCAAUGAAAUAGCCGUGAUAGUAACCUACUAAUUAUUAUAAGAUUCUACAGAGUGAGAUAAAGUAGUGAAUGCAACUCUAAAUUCGGCAUGAGAAACAUGCUCAUUUAGGAGAUUUUCCUAAAUAGGCGGAGGUGUGGGAUGAUUCCCGUUUCUUCUUUUGUUAGUAUUUCUAGGAGGCAUGCUCAGUAAAUGGAAAUAAAAUUAAAUUAUAAAGGGAUUUUAAAUUGGGAUCAUGCUUAUUCGCUCGACAUGAAUACUAAAAGAAGGAAAACUUUUCCUAAAAUGUCUUAUAUCCUCCUGUCCAAAGGUGUAGUGUUCUUCACACCUAUGCACAGGACUUUACUCAAUGCAGAUUUUAGACUUCCUAGGACACUUUAAAACCUUAGGCUCUGAUGCCAAGUUUGUACCACCCUGGGAGUGCACCCUAGACGCCACACGGUGCUUAUGAUAACAAGUGACCACAAGCUAAUCCAUAAGCCGGUACCUGCUGUGAGCACCAAUUAAACUGAUAAUAAAAGAUAUAAAAGUGAGGAAAAAGUUUGAUAUUCCAUAGGGCUUAAAUGCUGAAAACAAUACAACUGAAAUCCACAAUUCUGAAACAUAAGCAAAAAUACUAAAAACUGAUAACUAACUGACUGUCUGAAAUGUCUGAAAGCCUUUAAAACUAACUGAAUAAGAGUUGAUGGGACAGGCCUCAACUAACUCUAAAUUUUUAACUAGAAUAAAAUAUUAAAAAAAUAUCAUCGGUCCUCAAAACAUAAGGACUAACCACUGCGACUGUUGCUGAUGUGCUGGAAUGUCUAAGUACGGUCAGCAACCUGAGCUUCCGAACCUAUGAUAUGAGACAUCAUAUAAGAAGAAUUGAGUAUGCUGUUGGUACUUUGAAUAUAUUGGUAUGCUAAAUUAGGUUAGGUUGAUAUGCAUGAGCUCAUGUGUAUGAAUAAUAACUGAAUGAAUGAAUAGCAUGAGAUAACUGAUGCAUUGUAUGCAUGAAGGUUGUAAAAUCUAAGAAUGCCUGACCAAGUAUAUAAUAUGACAUGAGAAUAGUAUAUAAACUGAAAUAAUAAAAUUUGAGUAUUGAUUUAACUAAUAAACUGUAUGUUAUGGUCAAGCAAACCUGAACUGACUUUCAAACUGAGUUGGACUGAGACUGUGGGAGCUAUCAUCUAAUCGACAUGCCCUAAUAGAAGCUAAUUGGGGUGCAACCUAUAAAUCCAGUUGGAAGGGUAUCAGAACCAUGCCAUGGGUAAUAACAUUGGCUAUGUGAAUCCACUAAAGUGAAGUCUCAAAGGACAAAAUAGUCACCCUCUACUGGCAGGUGCUCUAGUGAGAUAUAUGUCAACCCUCAACUAACAGUUUAAUAUCUCAACCUACACUGGCUACGUAGUUCUAGAAUGCAGGGAUGACUAUUAAAGGUCACACCCUCAACUGGCAGGUGAGCCCCCAUCCCUGGGUUUACUCGGUGCUAAAUACUACACCCAACUGAAUUGACUCUAUUUACUAGGCUGAACUAAGCUUACUUAUGUGAUAACUGAUUGAACUGAUAAUACUCUAAUAUAUACGAAACCAUUUUGAAAAUACUGAGACUAAGUAAACACCUAAGUUUUUGGGUAUUCAUAAACCCUCGGACUUGAUAACAUUAAUAGUAGAAACAUACUAAAUCUUCAAAGCAUAAUAAGUAGUCAUUGUUCAAAAUCUAACAAUUUAGGCAUUUCAUCAAACACUUGAAAUUCAUGAACUUAGGCAUGGGGAUGAUUGAAACAUGUGGUAAUAACAUAGUCACAACACUAAAAUCAUACAUUGGGUAUUUGACAUGGAAUUUCUCGCUUCAAAUAUGUAAGGCUACUGUUGAUCAUCCACACUACUUUGAUAAUAAUUUCACAACAACAACUAGUAGUUUCAUUUUUUAUUUACUAAUGUUGCCACCUCAUCAUGAACCCCUCAUUAACCUAUGAUUACUACUUUUACAAUUCAAGAUUCAUCAAUAUCUGAUCACAUGAUUAAUGUUUCAGUUGUUAGAGUUUUUAUCCUGAUUUUCUUACCAAAUUUAAGAUUUACUUUUUCUUAAAAGAAAAAUAAAAGUAAUAACAUAAUUACUUUUACUUUUCCGUAACUGGUAAAGUUGCACUCAUGUGACCAAGAAGUCAUGGGUUCAAGCCUUGGAAACAGCCUCUGACACAAAUGCAAGGUAAGAUAGCGUACAAUAACCCUUGUGGUGGGGCCCUUCCCCGGACACCACGUAUAGAGGUAGCUGUAGUGCACCGGGCUGUCCUUUUUACCUUUCCUUAAAAGAAAAUAUAAUUCUUUUUCAUAUUUGGCCAACCUCUUUCUUGGUGAAAAGAUUUUGAAACUCUAUAAAUAAAACACCCCCUUCUCAUACAAUAUUGCAAUAGCAUCCACAAUAUAGUUGUUUAAGAGUCUUAUUUUGGAAGAGAUUUGCUCCCAAUAGUUUUGUGUUUACUUUAAUUUUAGUUGUCAUGUGUAGGUCAAUUGGACAAAUAAUAUCAAUUAUAUAUCUUUUUAUUAUACUUUUAUUUUUCAUCUGAAUUAUCAUCUUCUUGAUUUGUAAACUUUAAUUUUUUGCAUGAGCCACUACCAAUUUUGAACCUAGCAAGUGCUAUAAAAGCCUAUGGCUCAAAGGUCCAAUGGUUUGGUGAAACAAUAUUAAAGAAAGGUUCAAAGCUGUUUCACAAUCAAGAUGCAACCAGUUUUACGACAAUGAUAAUUUUGUUUAGUUACAUGUGGAGAAGAAGUUUUAAGCAUAUUUUGACAAUCCUAUAGUUGCAUCUUUAAAAAUAAAAAUAAAGUAUUAAUUUUGAAUAUACUUUUAACCAUAAUAUUUUAAAUCUUAAUUUUAACCAUGAAAAACAGUUGUAAUGAAGAUUAUGUUAAGGACGAAGUUCAUGCAUGAAGAAGGCGGAUCAAGUGAAGAACAUCAAGCCAAAAGGUGAGAUUCGUUAGGGUUUUUGCCCUGAUUUUCUUACAAAAUUUAAGUUUUACUUUUUCUUGAAGGAAAAUAAAAGUAAUAUCAUAAUUAUUUUUACUUUUCUUGAAAGGAAAAUAAAAGUAAUAUCAUAAUUAUCUUUCUUGGAGGAAAGAUUUUGGAACUCUAUAAAUAGAAGACCUCUCUACUCAUACCUUAAUACAAUAGUAUGCACAAUAUAGUCGUUAAAGAGUCUUGUUUAGGGAGAGAUUUCUCCCAAUAGGUUCAGUGAUUUUUGGAUAUUAGGUUUUCAUAUAUAGAACAAUGGUUAAAUCAUAUAAUAAUAUUAUAUUUUCUUUUAGUAUUUUAUAGUGUGUCAUCUGAAUUAUCAGUGGUUGGGUUUGCAAACUUUAAGCUUCUGGAUGACGCCAUCUCGAUUUCGAAUCCAACACCAGUGACUCCAAAUUUAUCAUCGAUUUCUUCAUCAUCAACUGAAUUACCUGCUGAUGACUAUCAACAAGCUAAAAUUUUACUUCUUUAUGGAUAAAAUGUAUAUUUCUUUUUGUCUAGUCGAUUAUUAGAAAACAUGAAAUUAGCUAUGAUAAAAAUUAUAGGUAAUCCUUAGCUAAUUUGUCACAUUAUAACUUCUAGCUAACUGGAUUUUCUAUAGAAUGGUCGACUGUUGAGAUUAAUAUGAGAUUUUUUAUGUUUAGCUAUGAAUUUUUUUUCCGCACUCGAUUCCCUGUUUUGUUUAAGUUGCCCCAAAUUUAGUUUCCCCUACCCCCUCUAUUUUUUUCAAAAGAAAAUCCUUUCAAUAUUUGUGAAUUUAAUAAUUUUAUGUUGAAUGAGAAGUUUUUAUAGCUACAUCAAUAAUAUUAAUGUUUUUAAAACAAUUCUCAUGUCUUACAUAUGUUAAUAUAUUUGUGUAAGGGUCAAAUACAUAACUAUAUAAGGUUACCAGCUUCUACAACACAUAAAAAUAUUCUGAUGAUAUAAUAUUUUUUUAUACCGACAAUGUAGAUAACAUAAAGUUCUACAAAGAACUUGCUUCUUUCUCUAUAUCUCUCACAUUUAUAUUACUUUCUUCACUUUCUAUUUUUAUUUGAAAAAUUAAACAUUCUUUCCUUUAAUUUUUUAUCUUUAAUAAUAACAUGACCUUAUAUAUAGUUACAAGAAUAUGAUGACAUGUUUAAAAUUAUAAAUUCUACGGACAAUUCCAGAUACAUGAAAAGAGUUGAAGUUUUCAAAUUCCUUGUCUCAUGAAAUAGACAGUGUACAAAAGGAUUGUUCGAUGCUCAAAGCAUCUCGCUUAUGAAUAUUUCCUUUUUCCUUUCGUCAGCAGCUAGUCUUAUAAUGCAAGUGUGAGAUAUAUGCAUAAAAUGUCUUGUGCAUGCAGGAACUACUAUCAUUGCACAACAACAUCAUGUAGUGUGAAGAAGAGAGUGGAAAGGUCAAUUCAACAUAUUUCAAUCGUUAUUACGACUUAUGAAGGUACACACACGCAUCCCUGCCUCGUAACGCCUAAGGGUUAUGUCGGCGUUCAGACGGUAACCACCAACUACAAUGGCUUCAUAGGUGGUGGUGAUAGUAGAGGAAGAACUUGUUAUGGUGAUUCCUCUUUCUUAUUUUCAACUAAUAAUUCAUGAGAAGAAAGAAGGUUCUGGAGCUCUUUUUCCUCUUUGAAUGAAGAUCAUGGACUAAUUCAAAGAUAUGAUGUCAUCACAUAUGAGAAGAGAUCUUAUAGAAGAGUAAGAAAAGAAAUUAGGAUAUAUAUACUCAAACCCAAUUUAUUUGGGACUGAGUAUGACAGAUAAUAAAUUUUAUAAUGCAAUGGUUCGAUUAUAUAACUAAAAUACACUCAAACGCUUUUUAUAUUUUGGACUAGUUUUGCCUAAUUUUUUCUAAUCUUUUUUUGUGUUUCUUUAUAUAUUUUAGAUAAUUGUGGUUUUCUAUAUUUUUUAAGAGAAUAAAAUACAAAUUCCCAAUUCAAAAGCUUUAUAUUAAUCAUCACACAAGUUAUUAGUGAGUCUAAUAUGAUAUUUCAUUGUGAAAAGAAAUAUUGUAAAUUUAUAUUAUUAACUGGUUGUAGAUGACAACUACCAGUAUCUUUUUAAAUAAAAAUAUAACAAUCUUUUGACCAUCUUACCAUUUGAAAUUAAUGCAAAUCCAUCAUAAGAUUUCAUCAAGUAUAGUUCUUGCAUACUGUCAUCAUUCAACUGUUUCACUACAAUCACCUUUUACAUAGCUUUUUAAUUCUAAUAGCUUAUUUUAUAUAUUGAUUUAGCGAUAUUUAGAUAGAUUAUACACAUCUUUACCACACGAUCAAAUGAGUUUAUCACCUUUUUAAACUUCUCCUGUUAAAUUAGAACGCAUAAAAUAAAAUCUGGGAUAAUAUGAUACUCUAAGCAAUAGAAACAAAAUGAUAAAUUUAAUAUUAUGGCUUAAUAGCACUUAUUUUAAAUAUAAUUAUAACAACCUUUCAAUCUCCUUACAAAUAUUAUUCUAAGUUUUUUGUAAAAAGGUCCCUUUUUAAUUAUCUUGAAUUUUAAAUUGUUAGAUCUCGUAUCCCAAUACCGUCCAAUCUCGUCACCAACCCUCAAUUCAAGAUUUGCAAAUAAAUUCUCACAGGCAAUUGUGUAGUCUUUGCUAAGCUCCAUCAUCUGAUUGGAAGCUUGAUGAUUUUUAGAAUUUGCCACACCAGUAACAUCCACUAGUUCUACUUCCUCCUUGUUUCCUUUCUUUAUCAGCGUGACCAUAUCUUUCAUCCAAUGCUUAAAUAUGUGGAUCUUCAUAUCCUCGAACGACAAUACUAAUAUCGUCACGGACUUCUCAAAGUCCAUGAUUAUUUUGGUAAUAGUCCAUGGAUUUUGUACAUUCAUCCAUACUUCUUCUUCUGUUUUUGAUGGGAUGAAAUUGUCCAUGAAAGCCUUUUUUCUAAUAAUAAUAAUAAUUGAGAAAAAGUGUUUGAUGAAUUUUCACAAUGUUGAGCAAGGAUGAAUAGAAAUUUAUAGGGAUGUUUUGUGUUAAAUUUGGAAAGCAUAUGACACUAUAAAUUAUUUUCCUAAUAAAGUUUUUGUAUAAGAUUACAUAAUUAAGAUAAUUUUUUCUUUGUGUAAAUUUGUACACCAAUUUAAAGAACCAUUUAGAAUUAAUUUAAUGACUUCCCAAAUUUUGACCAGUCAUAUUUUAAAUUUUUCUGGUUAUAUUAGAAAUUAAUUUAAUGACUUUCCAAAUUCUAGUCAGUCAUAUUAGAAAUUAAUUCAAUGCCUUUCCAAAUACUGGCUAGUCAUAUUUUGAUUUUUUCUUGACACCUUUCUACUACUACUACUUGAUUUGAUACAUUACGUCCAAAGCAUAUUUUUGUAGUUACAAGUAAUUUUAUUUAAUAGAAUAUAUAAUAAAUAUUAAUUAAUCGGUUAUAAUAAAUUAGCUUACACUAAUGACUAUAUAUCUAAUUAAUAGAAAAUCCAUCAGUAUAGGAGCUUAUAAAUCUCUCAAACAUUAGUUUUCAAAAUUAAACUUUCUAUCACUUAAAAAUCGUCUAGGUAUAUUGUUGUGUCAUACAGGUCCAUGUAUCAUGACAUGCGCAAGUAUUUCAGUAACUGAAGAUAAUUUUGGUAAUAAAAUCUAUUAAUUCAAGGCGAAAAUCAAGGGAUUAACGAAAAUAUAUAUCUUGGUGAUGUAACUUGAUUAAUUUCAUUGAAUUACCUUUUAAAAUAUUAAAUUUGUUAGUGAAUCAGAAAAAAUCGAGUUAAUUAGGUCUCAAAACAUACACCAAACACCGAAUGAAAAUCAAAUGAAAAUACUAUAUAUGUAGUCUAACAUAUUAGGUGUAACGCCCUGAGUCUGUACCUCGGACGCUACACGGUGCUCAUAAUUUCGAAGGAGAACAAGCUAAUCCAUGACUGGUACCUGCUGCAAUAACUGAAUAAUAAUAAUGUCAUAUGCAGAAAUUAGGCAGAAAACAUGCCAUAAGGUUGAAUACUGAAAUAAAACUGAAUACGGUAUAACAAAUACCAAAUUUGAUACAUGUGUCUAAAAGUAUUCUAGUCUUAAAAAGCCUCUAAAUUGUCUGAAAUAUGGAGUUGAUGGGUCAAGUCACCAACUAACUCCGAACUACUGAAAUAAGCUGAACUACUGAAAUAAUCAUCAUGUUCUCUAACUAAGAGGACUCACCACUUACUCUAUCAGCUGAAUAUCUGAACUGCUAAGUUUGAUCAGGAGCCCGCGCGUCUGAACCUAUGAUAUAAAAUAUCAUAGCGCAAAUGAAAGGUAUGUAUUAGUACUUUGAAUGUACUGGUAUGUAAAAUGAGGUAGGCUGAAAUGUAUGGGUUCAUAUGCAUGAACAAUACUGACUGAAUGACACGAGUAUAACUGAAUGAGAGUACAGGAAUGAAUACGUAAACUAUAAUUGAGAUCGUGCUAACACUGGAAUGCCAAAUUUGAGUACGGAUUAAAUGAUAUUUGAGCCUACUGAUACUCAAUUUUUGAUAGCUGAGUGACUGUAUCUGACAGUCUUGAAUCUGUGAAACUAUACUAAGUUCUGAUCUGAGUUUAGUAACUGUGUCUGACAGUUCUAAUUUUUUGUAGAACAGAACUGAGUUCUAUACUGAGACUAGAAUUGAAACUGAGACUGUGGGAAGUAAUCAUCUAACCAACUUGCCCCUCUUUGAACUGAUUGAGGUUCAACCUGUAACUCCAGCUGGAAGGGUGUCAGUACCGUGCCAUGGGUAAAGAUAAGCUGAGUCACCCUUAUCUUCCAGGUGCUCUGAACGAGAAUAGUGGUACCAUCAACUAGAAGGUAGAUCACCUCAUCAACCCUUAACUGGCAGGUUGAUGUCUCAACCUACGCUUGCUACGUAAUUCUGGAACACAAAUACUGUUUCUAAGGAUCAUACCCUUUACUGGUAGGUGAGUUCCCAUCCGUGGGUUCACUCGAUGCUGAAUCCUACUCCCAACUGAAUUGACACUGGACUAGAUUCUAGACUAUUCUAGGCUGGACUGAGCUGUUUCUGAUCGUACUGUAUAACUAAACUGAACUGAGUUCACUGGUUUCCGUGGACUGAUGGAAUACUACUGAAUUUUGUUAUGACUAAAUUCUACCAAUCGUGACAUGACUGAUACUAUCCCGUGACUGACCAUGGCUCUAGGUAAACAGCUAAAUUAUCGGGUAUUAAAUACCCUCAGGACUCAAUAGCAUAAAUUGUAAGACAUGGCAUAAUCUUGAAAUAUGAUAGCUAAGUACUUGGUCAUCGUACAUUUGUUUGGGACAUUCUAGCAAACACUUGCAUGACAUAAACUUGAAUAUAUGCUGACAUGAUAUAAUUUCACUAUUCAACUAACAUAAAUAAUUCAUUAAACACUUGAAGGAAAUAAUCUAUGCACAUGACACUAACACAAUAUGUAAGCAUCAUAGUUCAAUUCCUCAUUUACAACUUCAAAGGUUUCAACAUGGUUUUGCAUGAUAAUGCACACAUAUCAAUCAAUUCCACAUGAAUCUUGUAGUAAAUCAUGAACUAGAAACCCCAUUAACAUGGUAAUCAUGAACUCAUUCAAAUUCAACCAUAAAAUUCAUCAAACUCAUAAACUUGUAGUUAAAAAGGGUUCUUGAACUCCAAGGAUGGAAAAGAACCCUUGGAUGAACACUUGACAUACCCUGGUUGCUAAAUUCCUGAAGAACAAUGUUGGAAAUCUUGAGCUGAAAUUAAAUCACCUAGAGUUUUUGUUCUUGAGCAAUUUGAUAAAAAGUAAGUAUAUUUUGCUCAAUGAGGGUUGAAUCUCGUGUUCUAUGGCUAAAUAAGGGUGAAAAAAAGACUCAAAUACCCCCAAGGACGCGACUUUUAAUGACUAAAAACUGGUAUGUCGACGCGCAGGACAACGCGCCGCAUUAUUGGCAUCGACGCGAUAGCCAACGCGCCACGUCGAGUCUGCAUCGGUUCACUAUAAGUAGCCACUAGAAGUCAAGGAAAAAUAUUGAUCGACGCGAUGGCCGACGUGCCGCACUAAGAUCGCGUUGAUACACUAUUUUGGAUUCCCAAACGUGGUUCUAAUGAGGUCCGAAAAAUACGAAACUCGUCCGAAAACAUCUACUGACAUUUUUUAUCAUGAAUCAGCCUAAAGAUUGACAUUUUAAGGCCAUAGGGGCCACGAAAUAGAAUUUCCAGCUUACGAAGACUAAAAUAACACUAAGUUUGAAUACUUAGCAAAUUUUCUAAGUCUGGAACCCCUUAACAAGCUUUAAAAAGGGCUGAGUUAAUUUAAGGAUUUCGCGGGGUCUUACAUUAGGUUUCCUAUAAGCUAAGUGGAGCUUAGGAAAUCAAUUAUGAGUAAACGUUGAGCAAUAUGGAUAUAUUUAUGUAGGGUAUAUUAUAUGCACCCAUAGACGACUAUGCUUAGAUUUGGUUUUUCUUUAAUUAAUUUUUUUCCGGUCCAGUCCGGACCAUUUUAUUAACUAAAAAUUACACAAAUACACAACUUAUGUUUUCAAUAUUACAAGAAAUCCCAUCUCCCUAAACAUAUUAUAGAAAUCCCACAUAUAGACAGAAUGCUAUGUAUAUAUCGGUUAUGUUAUGUCUAUUAAUAGGGAGAGAGAGUAAAGUAAUAAAAAAAGUGGGAGAGAGUGUAAUUACUUUUAAAAUAUUGAUAUUUAUGUGAUUUAUACUUAUAUUAAUAAUGAGAUCUCAAAACACGGUCUAUAACUUUAGAUUGAUGGAGGGGCCCAAGCAAAGACCCGAUCCAAUAAAUUGAAAGAAUGCUUAGAGUUGUUUCCUUAUUAAGUUUAACAAAUUUUUAUUUAGCUUUCUCCUAUACUGAAUGAAAUUCAUAGCUUACCAUAGUCCUCCCCACCCCACCCCACCCUAUAGCUUCAUCUUUGUGGAAUAUAAAAAAUUCUUUAUCAUCAUUUUCCUAUAUAUCCUUGUUCAAAUAAAACAUAUAUAUGAUUGCCAUGGAUGAAAAGUUGGAAGCCAAUAAUUUUAAAGGUAAGUUUCACUUAGUGGAAAGCUCAUGAGGACUUUACUUUUUCUAUUUGAAUCAUUUCUACCGAGUUGUUUAGUGUAUAGUACUUUUUCAUAAAGCAUGUCUCACAAACGAAAAUAUUUAUUAAAAUAAGGAGAUCGCAAAAGUUUGACCAAACAGGCAUGCCCUUUUUUUUACUGUUUUUGUGUGGAAUUUAGCCUACGCGCAUUUAAUUUAAAUUAUGUAGCAAGUUCAAAGUAUAUCUAGAAAUGUGGAUGGUACCCUUUAAUAGUACCAUAUUUCAAUCAUGUAGAUAUAGUUAAUUCUAAUAUGAUGGAUUACCAAGUAUAACUUGUCAUAUGUGUCCAAAAUUAUUCCUGACAAAAAAAUAUUUAUUAAAAUAAGUCUAUUGUAAAGUUUAGCCAAACAUGCUAUAAGCCAGUCCUUUUCUCUUUUAUUGAAUUUAGACUGUCCAUUUUUAUUUGAAUAUAUAGCAAGUUUCAAGUAGCUAUAAAUGUGGAGGUAGCCCUUACCACAAUAUUCCAACAAUAUAGAUGGCACCUCUUAACUCUGAGAUAAUGGACUACCAACAAAACUUUCUUUUUGUGUGUGUGGAUUAAUGUAUUACUUAAUGUGCGUAAUACUUAUUUUGGGUCACAUUAUUUUACUGUUGUUGUGUUCAAUUUAUAUAUUUUCUUUUUUCAAACUAUUCAAAAAUAUUUUAUUUUAAGUCAGUUCUCUCCAUACCUCAUUUGUAUGAUUACCCUUUGAUAUGUUGUUGAGGUCUAUGUUUGUCUAUAAAAAAUGCAAGGACAAAAACAAUGACAAAAACUUUCUAUUUCCAAGUAUAAAAGGAUACACAAGUUUAUCAAUGUGCUAAUUUCAAGCCCAAAGAGCAAGGAUUGACAUUGAAGUAGAGCCAAGAAGAAGAUCAAUAAAAGAUACUUUUUUCAAGAAUGGCUGACCACUCAUGAAUUUUUUGUGAAAGAAAUCAAAGGCAAUAAGAUCAACUAAAGCCAUGUAUAUGUGUAUACCGGAACCGGAAGAUAAAGACCCCAAUAAACCUUCAAAGAUAAAGGCAUUUGGGCUUGUGUCACCAUAUCCUGCUAUUGAAAAAACAAUCAUUCUCAAUAUUAUACCCAAUAAUAGAUAUUUUUACCAAAAAUGUUCAAUCUUAAUUAACAAUUUCAACUUUUAUUCAAACACGUAUCAUUGAGUAGAUUCUAGAGCGGGCUAAUAAUAGUAAUUUUAGAUUCAAUCACAUAUUUGGGAAGGCGAUUGUUCUGCAGAUCCUUAGGAAAGGAAUAUAAAGAAAAUAAAAGAAGCUAUUUCACUUCCCUCACAGGUUAGAGCUACAUUAAAGUUUGAACAACAAAAUAUUUCAAAUUUCAAAUUCAGAACUAGCAAAAUAAAUUUCAAGUUUGCCGCAAGGAUUAGGGUCCUGAAUAAUAUUCUAGUGUAUCAGUGCCUCAGGGGAAAGUAUACAUUGGUCAUAGCCAAUCAUGUCUCCUGAAUCGGCAAAACUCAAUUUCGAGCAAUGAGCCCUUACACUCAAAUGCCUUCUUGGGGUAACCAUCUAACUCUCUUUAAGUCCAUUUUUAGUCCUUUAAGAAUCAUGCUUCAUGCUCAUAAAAAUUCACUUCUGAUUCUUGUAAGGGCAUGCAUAUCAUAAUAGGGUAUCGUCAUAUCCAGACUUGCACGUCAUUCAUAUCAUACCACAGCAUAUCCAUAACCCUUUUUAUUCAAAAGCAUGUUAGUGACCAACCAAAAGAUUUAAACAUCACAUGAAAGAGUUCUUGUUUCAAAACACAUGAAAACUCAUGAAACCUACUCCCUUUUCAAUACUUUAUCAUACGGUGGUCAUCUUUUUCAUCAAUCACAUGCAAAUUCUUUAUUAGAAAACACGAGCAUUUGUAAAUCAAGGGAAAAACCCCUCUCACUCAUUCGUAAAACAAUAAAAAUUCAUAAAUAUUAGCAAAAUAUUUAAGCUCAAACUUUUAAUCAUCCUUGUAAACAAUUCACAACAUUGUUAAGACAAUGAGUUUCAUAACAAGAGAGGGAAUAAUUCAAAUCAUGCUCUCAUAUAACUUCUCAAACUAAUAACAUAUGUACACAUGAAAAUAAUUCAAGUUUUGGGGAAACAACCUCAUAGAUUAUACAAGAUUUCAUCAUAAAACGUGGUUUACAAUGCAUGCUUUUCAACAAUUUCAAAAUCUAUCUCAUAUAUGAAAUUCUAUACCUAAAUAAAGUUUUUUUAAACGUUAAAUUUAUGCCCAUGGAAAUUAGGAUAGUCCCACAUACCUUUAAAUUGACAAAAACGUAGAUAAAAUUUUCCCUUGAAUCUUAAUUCCACAAACCCUAGCUAAAGACGGAGCUGGGACUUAGAGCUUCGCGCCCUAUCCUGAUUAUCAUUUUUGAACUUCGGCACUGGAGCACUAGCUGAAGACGAAGUUGGGGCUAAAGAUUUCUGACGGAAUUGAGGAUGGUUACCACCCUCUGGCCUUGGCAGAGCAAAACUAAAGCUACCUGUUCUGGCUCUCUUAUUCUCCCUCUCUCUUUCCUUAAAUUUCUACUCCUCAAAUUGUUGAGCAUGGACUAUCAACCCAGACAAGUCCAUCUCCAUAAUCAACAUCUUGGUUCUACACUCCUUGACCAAGCUAUCAGCUAUCCCAAAAAUAAACUUACUCAUCCUAGACCUGUCAUCAGACACCACAUUAGGAGCAUACCUAGCCAGCCAAGUAAACUUAAGAGAAUACUCUUUCAGACUCAUGUUCCCCUGCUUCAAAUUGAUAAACUCUUGAACCUUAGCUUCCCUUAACUCCAAGGGAAAAAAACUAUCUAAAAAUUACGUAGAAAACUCUUCCCAUUAAAUAGGACCUGCAUCUGCGUCUUUAUCUCUCUUCCACUGCUUAUACUAGUGUGAACAACAUCCUGCAACUGGUAAGCACCCAACUCUGCACUCUCACUAGAAGUCACACCCGUAAUGCCAGUUACCUUCUGAACCAUUUCAAGGAACUCCUGCGGAUCCUCACCAGACUUAGAUCCUGAAAAUAGAGGAGGGCUCAUUCGGGUGAAGUCCCAAAUCCUAGCUGCGGCAGUAUUAGCCACUGAAACGGCUGGGACAAGAUCCUACUCACUGAAAUGAUUGGGACAGGAUCCUAUUGAUUAUUUUGGGUUGUUACUAUGUGAGCUAUAGUAGUGAAUCCAGCUCUAAAUUUACCAUGAGAAACAUAAUCAUUUAGGGGAUCUUUCUGAACUGUCGGAGAUGCAGGCUGAUUCCCUUUUCUUUUUUCAUUAGUCUUACUGAGAGGCAUGUUUUGUAAACAGAAAGAAGAUUGAAUUAGAAAAGGGAGUUUAAAUUGAGCUUAUGCUCAUUCGCACAAAAUGAAUACUAAAAGAAGGGAAACUUUUCCUAAAACGUCUUAUAGCCUCGUGUCCAUAGAUAUGGCGUGCUUCACACACAUGCACAAGACUCAACCAAAUUCGGUUUUUAGAAUUCCUAGGACACUUUAAAAACUUAAGCUCUGAUACCAAGUUUGUAACGCACCGAGAGUGCACCUUGGAUUCCACACGGUGCUUAUGAUCUCAAGUGACCACAAGCUAACCCAUGAGCUGGUACCUGUUGUGACCACUGAAUAAAUUGAUAAUAAAAGAUAUACAUGUGCAGAAAAAGCUGGAUAUGCUAUAGGGUUUAAAUGCUGAAAACAAUACAAUGAAAUCCACAAUUCUGAAACAUAAGAAAAAGUGUUGAAAACUAUCAACUAAUUGACUGUCUGAAAUGUUCGAAAUCCUUUAAAACUAACUGAAUCGAAGACAUUUUUCAUUCAUCAAAUCAGUCUUCGUAGAUAAUCGGAGGCAUCCUUCAUUUAUCCCAAGUCCCCAUGAAUAAUCAAAGGCGCCAUUCAUUCUCAAGUUCUUGUAUACAAUCAGAGGCAUCAUUCAUCUUUUCAUUAAAAUAUAUAAUUAAAAAAGUUAUUUUCUUCAAAUUCCAUUCAAAAGGCCAAAUUCUAGCCAUAACUCAUACACUGGGGUAAAUUUUGAGAGCCGCCCCAAAAAUAAUUUUCUAUUUUCGCAUAUCGAACUACAUUGAUCUGAUUUUCUUGACACUCGAGAUAUGUAGGAAGCACUAUGCAGAGUUCGAUCAUGGCAAUGACAUAAUCAUUCUUUCUCCCCACCAAGUACUCAAUCUUGUAUCCCCAGCAUCUCACAGCUCGAUACUGGGAAAUUUCAAAAGAAGCAUCGGGAAUAUAUGAACACUUUCGUUCCCAAACAACCCUCCUCUCAAUAAUCAUUCCAUAUGAUCAUUUGCCCCUAAUAACAAGGCAAAAGGCAAUUGCAUGUUCUUUUAAACAACAUCCGACCUGAUCCUCAUACAGCUCGAGGUAUGUAGGUAACUUUGAAUUAGAGUUCGGCCAAAUUUUUUUCAAAAAAUAUAUAUAUAUCAUUUUUGUCGAGCAAAAUUGGCUACACGUCAACAUUUUCAUUUGAAUAUUUCUACAUCAUCCUCAAAUGAAAAGGGGCAACUGUUGACACCCAAUUUUUGCUCUUUAUGCCUAAAUUUAAUGUCUUCAGGCUUCCUGGCCAUUAAAGGGCACAAAAUAUAAUUUUCACAUAUUUUUACUUUUCUUAAUUUAUUGAUAAUUCUCUGUACAUUAGAAUUUUUAUCAAUUCAUUAUCAUCUGUAAUAUUUUUUCACAAUCAUCUACUCACAUACAUGACAUGACAUCACAUUUUAUAACAUUUUCAAAUUAAUUACUUUUUUUUCAAUAUUUUUAACAUUCUUUACAUUUUUCAAUAAUUACAAAUCAAUUUCUAUAUUUUUUACAGUCCGCAAAUAUUAAAUCGGAUCAAUUAUUUUUGUACAGUAUAGUAAUUUGAUGUCUUGUCACAUCUGAUAAGUACCACACAAUAAUCUCUAAUCACAUCCGACAAGUUAUUGAUAAUUGUCAUUAUUUUAGAAUUUUGACCAAUUUAUUGUCAUAUUUUAAUUUUACAUAUUUUUUCUUAAUUUCGUAAAUGUUAGGAUUUUUAUCAGUUUAUUACCAUUUUAAUAUUUUUGAACAGUCAUCUACAUACAUACAUAACAUAAUACUACAAUUCUUUUUACAUAUUAUAAUUUUAGUUGUUUAUAGUGUAAUACAUUUUUUUUCAAAGAUAAUUAUAUCUGUUUAUAUUUUUCUGUAGUUAUAUAUAUUGAUAUUUUUAUUUUGUACCUUAUUUAUUUCAGUCUACAGAAAUAAUAUCGGUUUAUUUUAAUAUAAAUAAUAAAUUGGUCAAAUCAAGGUCUCAUCACUCUUUAUCAGUUUUGACUUUAAUUUACCUACUACCCAAAAUUUAAGAAAUUUGUUGGAAGAAAUAAUUUCUUUUUUCCUUUUAUUUAUACCAACACACCUAUACAUAAUAGACACACAGAUUCACAAUACAAACACCUACACGUAUUUUUCUUUCUUUCCCAACACACACGCCUUUUUCUCUGUACAUCAGCAGCUACUAUCAGAGCUCCGGCGAACGGCUCCGGCCAACACAACCACUGUCACACUUCCCCUUCUUCUUUUCCCAAAUUCUGACCAUCAAACACCACCUCCAGCAGCACCACAAUGCUGACCAGCCAUCUUCACCAAAAAUCACUAUUUUCAAACACUUUGCGCCUCUUCUCUCCCACUAUCGAAGACAACACCGGCGAACUACCCCUGUCGCCCAUCUCUCCAUUUAUUUCUCUCUCUACCCUCACUGCCAACUGUUGGAUUUGACUAUCGAACGAUCGAAGACCGAGAAAACAACCCCACAACCACUACCAUCGAAAAUGGGUCAGAUCUAGCCAAGUUCAUGGCUUACGGCGUCGCUCCAGCGAAGGCCAUGGAAGCGACGUCAUUUUAUUACUCUUUUGUUCGUCGGUAUCACUGAAUAAAUAAGGCUUCAAUAUUUUGUGUUUUGUUGUAUUAUUUGGUUAUUCUCUCAAAUUUUGAUUUGAAAUUCACUGAAGAAUAAUGUUUUGUUUUACCUUUUUUUAUUGUUGCUCUAAAUGUGUUGGCCGGAGUUAAUAAAACUCCAUACUUUAGGACAAGCAUUUACAUGUUUCAAAUAUUUCUCUAAUUUUUAGCUUGCUCGAGUUUUUGUUAUGUUGCUACUGCUGCUCCAUUCAUUGUUAUUACUGCUGAUUUUGCUAUAGAUUUUCUAUUUGUGUAAUAUAAUUUUUUUAUUUGUGUAAUAUGAAUUUUCUACUAUCCACGGACUGAUUUCGCCACUUACAUUUUAUUUAAUGAGAUAGUACAAAAAAUAUUUGGCUAGUGAAAUUAUCUCUCCGUCGGAUACUUGAGGCCACCCUAACAAAAGACAGAUUUUGCUUUUUAGUUUACUUAUUUUAUAUCAAACAUCAAAACACUGCCUAUGACAAUAUCUUUUCGUUGGAUUUUUGAGGCCCC